rnacentral:tRNA from 2 species
UCUCCGGUAGUUCAGAUGGUAGAACGGGAGACCCCAAUCUCUGUGUCGUGGGUUCGAGCCCCACCCGGAUGA